AGAUUACAACAUUAGAUAUCGGAGCAGCAAUACAAGAAAGUGAACGGGGAUUGGAAUUUUUAAAAGAACUUGAAAAGUUAUUAAAACUUGAAAAAAGCAGACGAAAUUGGCUGCAACAAUUUGAGGAAAUUAAAAGAAAAAUGUCAUUUCAAGAAAGAAAAAGAAAACUUGAAACGGAGGCAGAAGAAUCUCUUGAAAGAGAAGUAAAAAAUCCAUAUAAUUUGAGAAGUACCCCUCCACAAAGUCUUGAGUAAAAGAAAAGAAUAGAAAUACAGUAAUUUUGUUGUAAAAGAUAUACUAAUAAAACAAUAUAUAAAAUAUAA